UCCCUCUGAUCUUGCAGUAGUGAGGGGAGUUUAGUGGAUACGGUAGUGUUAUCCAUAACAGUUAGGUUUAGUGUUUAGUGUAAGGAGUAAAUAAUAAUGUAGAGAUGUAGAGUGUUACUUAUAAUGCUAAAAUUUAACUAAGCAAUUCUAAGUUAUUAUAUUAUUUUGCCCAAUAAAUAAUUCUAAUGGAUUACACAUAAGAUUAAUACAAAAUGAGUGAAAAGUCACCCGGUUUCCUUCCGGUAGAGCAGCAGAUUUUUAUGAAUUUCAGGACUUUUUAAGCUAGGCAUGACAUUUAACUUUACAAUACAAAAUCAAACUACACAUGAGCAGAUGUAGAGAUGAAGAUGACAAUGAUAACCCAGCCAGUGCCUACCGUGAAGAUGAGACUGAGGCAGUAAAAUCCAACUCUUUGAUGCAACAAGAAGCCACCACCAGCAAGCGAUCCUGGAUAGCUAUGAAGCACAGUCUUGGUAUUUUAAUGGUAGUUACUCACAUCUGAAGAUUAAAUUAUUAUCAUAAAAUAUUAACGGGAAAUGUCUGGACGGUCAUGCAUUCUGUAAUAAUAAGUAAUGGAAAUGGGACUUAGAGACGUAUAUAUAGAUGAGAUGCACCGAAACUCCGGCUGAGUAACUUAGCUUAGAAAUGACUCCCUAAAUA